rnacentral:rRNA from 1 species
CCUACGGGAGGCUGCAGUGGGGAAUAUUGCGCAAUGGGCGAAAGCCUGACGCAGCGACGCCGCGUGAGGGAUGAAGGUCUUCGGAUCGUAAACCUCUGUCAGCAGGGAAGAACGGUCACUGUGCUAAUCAGCAGUGAAUUGACGGUACCUGCAAAGGAAGCACCGGCUAACUCCGUGCCAGCAGCCGCGGUAAUACGGAGGGUGCGAGCGUUAAUCGGAAUUACUGGGCGUAAAGCGCUCGUAGGCGGUAUGUCAAGUCAAGGGUGAAAUCCCCGCGCUCAACGUGGGAACUGCAUUUGAAACUGGCAAACUGGAGUGUGUGAGAGGAGAGUGGAAUUCCAGGUGUAGGAGUGAAAUGCGUAGAUAUCUGGAGGAACAUCAGUGGCGAAGGCGACUAUCUGGCACAUAACUGACGCUGAGGAGCGAAAGCGUGGGUAGCAAACAGGAUUAGAUACCCUUGUAGUC